rnacentral:rRNA from 1 species
AUUGAACGCUGGCGGCAGGCCUAACACAUGCGAGUCGAGCGGAUGAAGGGAGCUUGCUCCUGGAUUCAGCGGCGGACGGGUGAGUAAUGCCUAGGAAUCUGCCUGGUAGUGGGGGAUAACGUCCGGAAACGGGCGCUAAUACCGCAUACGUCCUGAGGGAGAAAGUGGGGGAUCUUCGGACCUCACGCUAUCAGAUGAGCCUAGGUCGGAUUAGCUAGUUGGUGGGGUAAAGGCCUACCAAGGCGACGAUCCGUAACUGGUCUGAGAGGAUGAUCAGUCACACUGGAACUGAGACACGGUCCAGACUCCUACGGGAGGAAGCAGUGGGGAAUAUUGGACAAUGGGCGAAAGCCUGAUCCAGCCAUGCCGCGUGUGUGAAGAAGGUCUUCGGGUUGUAAAGCACUUUAAGUUGGGAGGAAGGGCAGUAAGUUAAUACCUUGCUGUUUUGACGUUACCAACAGAAUAAGCACCGGCUAACUUCGUG